AAGCGUCUAAUUGGUGAGAAUGCUAUGGUAGAGGUAUUUUAAAGAGAAAUAUAAAUAAACAUUUAGGAAUACAUCAUUUGCAUUCAAACUUCUUUUGUCGAACGAGGACUCUCUAACAUUUUCAAAUAUUUGUUCAGCAUCAUUACCAUUGGAUAUUCUGAUAUAGCUUUAAGUGCAACUUAAUUACAAGAUGAAGAAAAUUAUUCAAUUUGUGCUCCUGUUUUGUCUUUUUGGAUUGGUGCUCAGCAAAAGUGUACCGAAUGCAGGAAACAAUGAAUUACUUAAAAAUACAAAACAUCUUGAAGACCAUCGCAUACGAAGACAAGCGAGUAGUGAGAAUAGAAAAUGGUAAAAGCGUAAAAAUUUUGCUGAAAAUAUUAACUCAAUUUAACGAGUAAAUAAACACAGCCGAUAUAUUGGACAAGAUGAUAUAAAUCUGUUUGAAUAUGAAAAAACAGCAAAAGGCAAAAGCAAAUGAAAAAAAAACAAAAACAAAAAAAAAAACAUGUUACAAUAUUACACAAUAUUUAAACUGUGUACUCAAUAUAUUUAUUCUGUAUGCAUAUUUUGUUGUCAGUGUUUAUGUUUGACUCCUCUAACUUCACUGAAACAAGACGAAAGUUAUUAAUUACGUAUAAGAAGUGAUAAAAUCGACUUUUGUUUCCCAACCAUAAAUUCUUUAUGAUUGUGUCAGUCAAAUUUAUCAAAAAUGAUAAACAAGAUCAACAAGGAAAGGUGGCGUUCAAUGAACGCAACCCCAAAAUUCGAUUUUGUUUCUUCAACAACUCGAUACUACAUAGAUCUAAUCUAUAUUUUGCUUUUCUUUACAUUCUCAUGUUUCAGUCGUUUAGAUAUACCAUUAUUAUUUGUUUUUAUUACAUACUUGCCCGCUU